GGGAGAAAAGCCAAACCUGUUGUGAAGCAGGGACGGAAAGCCAAGGGUCUCAUAAUAAUACUGAGAUAGCCUAGUUGCCUUUG
rnacentral:ncRNA from 1 species